AGUGAACGCUGGCGGUAGGCCUAACACAUGCAAGUCGAACGGCAGCACAGUAAGAGCUUGCUCUUACGGGUGGCGAGUGGCGGACGGGUGAGGAAUACAUCGGAAUCUACUUUUUCGUGGGGGAUAACGUAGGGAAACUUACGCUAAUACCGCAUACGACCUACGGGUGAAAGCAGGGGAUCUUUGGACCUUGUGCGAUUGAAUGAGCCGAUGUCGGAUUAGCUAGUUGGCGGGGUAAAGGCCCACCAAGGCGACGAUCCGUGGCUGGACUGAGAGGAUGAUCAGCCACACUGGAACUGAGACACGGUCCAUACUCCUGCGGGAGGCAGCAGUGGGGAAUAUUGGACAAUGGGGGCAAGCCUGAUCCAGCCAGACCGCGUGGGUGAAGAAGGCCUUCGGGUUGUAAAGCCCUUUUGUUGGGAAAGAAAAGCAGCAGGUUAAUACCCCGCUGUUCUGACGGUACCCAAAGAAUAAGCACCGGCUAACUUCGUG
rnacentral:rRNA from 1 species